rnacentral:rRNA from 1 species
UACAGAGGUCUCAAGCGUUGUUCGGAUUCAUUGGGCGUAAAGGGUGCGUAGGUGGCGCCGUAAGUCAGGUGUGAAAUCUCGGGGCUCAACCCCGAAACUGCACUUGAUACUGCGGUGCUCGAGUACUGGAGAGGAGAUUGGAAUUUACGGUGUAGCAGUGAAAUGCGUAGAUAUCGUAAGGAAGACCAGUGGCGAAGGCGGCCAUCUGGACGGUAACUGACGCUGAGACGCGAAAGCGUGGGGAGCAAACAGG